rfam:Schistosoma mansoni strain Puerto Rico chromosome 1, complete genome
AUCCAGCUGAUGAGUCUCAAAUAAGACGAAAUGCGCGAUCUGGAU